GGGUCGGUGGCGUAGUUGGUUAUCGCAUCUGCUUUACAGUGAAUAGAGCUGCGCAGAAGGUCCUCAGUUCGAGCCUGGGUCGACUCA